GCGAGAGUGGCGGAAUUGGCAGACGCGCUGGAUUUAGGAUCCAGUGGGGGAAACCCGUCCGGGUUCGAGUCCCGGCUCUCGCA
rnacentral:tRNA from 1 species